AUUGAACGCUGGCGGCAGGCCUAACACAUGCAAGUCGAACGGUAACAGGAAGCAGCUUGCUGCUUCGCUGACGAGUGGCGGACGGGUGAGUAAUGUCUGGGAAGCUGCCUGAUGGAGGGGGGUAACUACUGGAAACGGUAGCUAAUACCGCAUAAUGUCGCAAGACCAAAGAGGGGGACCUUCGGGCCUCUUGCCAUCGGAUGUGCCCAGAUGGGAUUAGCUUGUUGGUGGGGUAACGGCUCACCAAGGCGACGAUCCCUAGCUGGUCUGAGAGGAUGACCAGCCACACUGGAACUGAGACACGGUCCAGACUCCUACGGGAGGCAGCAGUGGGGAAUAUUGCACAAUGGGCGCAAGCCUGAUGCAGCCAUGCCGCGUGUAUGAAGAAGGCCUUCGGGUUGUAAAGUACUUUCAGCGGGGAGGAAGGGAGUAAAGUUAAUACCUUUGCUCAUUGACGUUACCCGCAGAAGAAGCACCGGCUAACUCCGUG
rnacentral:rRNA from 1 species